AUUGAACGCUGGCGGCAUGCUUUACACAUGCAAGUCGAACGGUAACAGGCCGUAAGGUGCUGACGAGUGGCGAACGGGUGAGUAAUGCAUCGGAACGUGCCCAGUCGUGGGGGAUAACGCAGCGAAAGCUGCGCUAAUACCGCAUACGAUCUAUGGAUGAAAGCGGGGGACCGAAAGGCCUCGCGCGAUUGGAGCGGCCGAUGUCAGAUUAGGUAGUUGGUGGGGUAAAGGCCCACCAAGCCAACGAUCUGUAGCUGGUCUGAGAGGACGACCAGCCACACUGGGACUGAGACACGGCCCAGACUCCUACGGGAGGCAGCAGUGGGGAAUUUUGGACAAUGGGCGCAAGCCUGAUCCAGCAAUGCCGCGUGCAGGAAGAAGGCCUUCGGGUUGUAAACUGCUUUUGUACGGAACGAAACGGUCCGGGUUAAUACCCUGGGCUAAUGACGGUACCGUAAGAAUGAGCACCGGCUAACUACGUGCCAGCCGCCGCCGUAAUAC
rnacentral:rRNA from 1 species